rnacentral:rRNA from 1 species
CCUACGGGGGGCUGCAGUGGGGAAUAUUGCACAAUGGGGGGGACCCUGAUGCAGCGACGCCGCGUGGGUGAAGGAGUAUUUCGGUAUGUAAAGCCCUAUCAGCAGGGAAGAACCAUGACGGUACCUGACUCAGAAGCACCGGGUAAAUACGUGCCAGCAGCCGCGGUAAUGCGUAGGGUGCAGCCGUUAUGCGGAUUUACUGGGGGUAAAGGGAGCGCAGGCGGCGCGUUAAGCCUGGUGUGAAAGUCCGGGGCCCAACCGCGGGACUGAAUUGGGAACUGGCGCGCUGGAGUGCCGGAGGGGUAGGCGGAAUGCCUAGUGUAGCGGUGAAAUGCGUAGAUAUUAGGAGGAACACCAGUGGCGAAGGCGGCCUACUGGACGGUGACUGACGCUGAGGCUCGAAAGCGUGGGGAGCAAACAGGAUUAGAUACCCCGGUAGUC